CUCCGGCAGAUACUUUAUCCCAGCCAUUUAUAAUGCUGACCAUUUAUAAUGCUGACCAGACUCAAAGUAACUAAAACCAGCUGUAACCAGAGACAUGCACAGACUCAAGUGUCCAGUUAUGUACUCUGUUGGAUGAUAUGACCUUCAAAAUUAAUCUUUGGCCCGCUGAAUAUGGACUCCAACGGUGCCCUAGGGGAUGGUGGAGCCACCAGAUGGAAGGAGCCUGGUGAUCCCGAGAAGGAGAGAUGCCUCGCUGACCUGAACAUCUUUCCAGAACUGUUAAGUGAGUUAGAAAUGAACUUCUACUAUACAAAGCCGCUGAAAUUUGGGCAUCUGUUACUUUAGUUGGCCUACUGAAGCUUCUCUCCUCUCCUCACUUACCUCUCCAGAUGCAAUGGCAGGUCUUUCGGGGUGGGGGUGGGGCACUGAUCAGAACUGCCUGGAAGCUCAAGUACCCACUAUACCUAGGCUCAGGCAGGCCAGAGAU
rnacentral:lncRNA from 10 species